GCUGUGCCCGUGUUCCAUGUGGAACUGCCAGGGCCCGGCGACGAGCACAACGCAGCCAUUCCCCUGCUGACAGCGAUCUGUGAGCAGCUCCCAGCGCACCCUCGACAGGUGAUUCCCAAAAGACUUGUCAGUCCUGGACUCAACCUACUGUCUGGAGCUCUGCAGCCAUCCCAGCAGGAUGGGCAACCUCCUCCCAGUCAAGACUGCUGGAGAUACUGAGGAAGAGAUGGACGUGGACGUUGUGGUGGAUACCGAGGAGAUGAUGGAGGUGGACGUCCAAGAGUUUGAUGAAGAGAUGGAGGUCGAUGUGGUGGAGGAGAUCGAAGAGAUGGAUAUCGACCAGUAAGAUGAGGAGGAGGACAUGGUGCUGGGAUGAGGACAGUCCCCCAGCAGCACGACAGGACUGACGGACCUGCCGGCCAUGGCAUCGGCCAUGCUGUACAUAUGUUUUUCACUUUUUUCUGUAAAUAUGUUCUAUAUUAUUCACUUUUUAAGAA